rnacentral:lncRNA from 1 species
UGGAUAUGCUCCAAUUCCUACAUCCUUUAGUCCAGUGGGCAGUUCUAUCAAUGUGCUCUUAGAUAGGGAACGAGCACUGAACGAAAAAUACUCAACUUGACGCCCAUAAAAUAUUUUAACAACAACAAAUUAAGGUAUUAAAAUUUCUCUGCUUGAUUGAUAUCUUUAUUUAUCAUGCCUCUAUUAUACAUUUGGUAUUAUUUUGCAAAAGAAUUGGUAAAUUUCAAUACACAAAUUAAUUCUACAUGCAUGAAACUCGAAGUGGUCUUUUGUUCAAAUCUACUCACCUAUGUUUGUGUAAAAAAAAUUCAACUAAUAUUCUGGUAUAACUUUUGUUAAUCUGUGAACUUGCAAUUUAAGUUGUAGACUAAGGUACAUCUGAUAACCUAAUUGUUCUUCUCAGAUGAGUUGUACACUGUUUAUCCUAGAGUAUUUUCCUUUGUUAUUUUCUCAAGUAAUUUAGAGCUCACAUGGCUCAUGAUUGGUAUUUACGAUUCAUUAGUUUGUUUUGUGGACAAUGAUAUGUAGGUAGAGUUCAAUAUCACAAUAUGGAUUGGAAUGUUAAUAAGAGAUUUUAUUACUCCCUCCAUUUCAUUUAUUUGUUUUACUUUCCUUUUUAAUCCGUUUCAAAAAAAAAAUCUCAUUUUUAACAGCUCUUUAUUAUCAAUUUUCCACGUGAUGUGUUUAAGAUCAACAAGAUUAAAAGAUANNNNNNNNNNNNNNNNNNNNNNNNNNNNNNNNNNNNNNNNNNNNNNNNNNNNNNNNNNNNNNNNNNNNNNNNNNNNNNNNNNNNNNNNNNNNNNNNNNNNCUAUUAGACCUUGGAUGUCUGUAGUUUACAGGUAUGCUAUUACAACUAAUCGUUUUGCUCUGAAAAUAACCAUAUUUUAUAAUUUCUAUGGCUUUUUUAAACAACUUCUUGAUUUGUAUGUCUAUUUUGAAUUCUGAUUUAGGUGGCUCUAUGAUUUCAAUUCUCGUGAGUACUUUUACGAUGGUUCAUCAUAUGGCACCCAACAUACCCUUCAAAACUUCUGAGGAUAUCUUCAAUGAAAUUAGACUACAUUUUCAAUUAUCCUUUUCUUUGACAUUUUGAUGACAAACACCAUAUAGUUUAACCAUCUGAUUAUGAAAUGAAAGUAUUCCAUCGAGGUGCAUUUCUGGUCAUGGUCAUGUAUUAUGUUAAAGUCCUUUAACCUAGAAGAUGAAAAUAGAUGAAUGUUUUCCUUUAUCUCGAUUAAUGCCUCAACUUUCUGGACAACACCAUCAAUAUAAACCUAAAAAGAUAUCACCCUUGGUUCUCUCUUGAUUUAGCAGAGAUAGUUCAUCUGUUAAGUUUGUUUUGGUAAAUAACAAUAAACCUUGCCCAAAUAUUCAUCUCACUUAUAGCUCACUCAAAUGUUGCAUCAAGAAUUUUGAUUGUAUUUGUAUCAUAUUUAAGUGCUUUACAGGUUCACUAUAUAAACCAAGUUCGAGCUCUCUUUCUCCUAUAUAAAAUAAACGCAAUGAAUCAUAUUGUUGCAAUGUGUUUUGUUGUGUAUUUUAUACUAAGCUCCAUCCAACUGCUAUGAAGUCUUCCAAAGUAAGCAGAGUUAUUGUCAUUCCCUUAUCUUGCUUUCUUAUAUAUAGUAACAUACAACAGGAGGCCUUUUUCUGAUUUUUCACGUUUUUAGUGUUGUUCAUCUUCAUUUUUGCCCUUAAAAGCAAGGUAUAAAGGUUGAAAUGAAUUUCAAAAUGAUAAGUCUGCAGUUCCCUACAUAGUUGGGAUGGGGCACAGGAAAAAAAGGUAUAAAGGUUGAAAUGAAUUUCAAAAUGAUAAGUCUGCAGUUCCCUACAUAGUGGGAUGGGGCACAGGAAAAAGAAAUGUAUAUGAGGCAGAAACUUUUGUCAAAAUUGAUGAUGUUAGACUUUUGUAAUUUUAAAAUCAGAUGCACAUCUGAAUAAACUAUGGUCUUGAUGUUAUGGGGAUGCCAAAUGAUGUCAUUAAUGUAACUUAUUUUUAAGUUCUACUUUUUGAGAAUGCUGGUGAGACAUUCCAAGCAAAAGUCAUGUAUCUGCAAGAAAUUGAUACUGAAACUUAGAGGUUGAGCAUUGUGAAGUGGAUAAAUUUCAUGUAAUGAGGAAUUCUGAGAAAUCAUUUUCUUUUGUAAUCAAGAUUUUAACCUGAUAAUGUUGGUAGCAUAUAUUUGUACUACA